UACGUAGGGUGCAAGCGUUGUCCGGAAUUACUGGGCGUAAAGGGCUCGUAGGCGGCCAACUAAGUCAUACGUGAAAUCCCUCAGCUUAACUGGGGAACUGCGUGUGAUACUGGAUGGCUUGGAUUUGGGAGAGGGAUGCGGAAUUCCAGGUGUAGCGGUGAAAUGCGUAGAUAUCUGGAGGAACACCGGUGGCGAAGGCGGCAUCCUGGACCAAUAUUGACGCUGAGGAGCGAAAGCUAGGGGAGCAAACGGG
rnacentral:rRNA from 1 species